GAUGAAGAACGUAGUGAAAUGCGAUAAGUAAUGUGAAUUGCAGAAUUCCGUGAAUCAUCGAAUCUUUGAACGCACAUUGCGCCCGCCAGUAUUCUGGCGGGCAUGCCUGUUCGAGCGUCAUUACAACCCUCAGGCCCCCGGGCCUGGCGUUGGGGAUCGGCGGAAGCCCCCUGUGGGCACACGCCGUCCCUCAAAUACAGUGGCGGUCCCGCCGCAGCUUCCAUUGCGUAGUAGCUAACACCUCGCAACUGGAGAGCGGCGCGGCCAUGCCGUAAAACACCCAACUUCUGAAUGUUGACCUCGAAUCAGGUAGGAAUACCCGCUGAACUUAAGCAUAUCAAUAAGCGAAGGA
rnacentral:misc_RNA from 1 species